rnacentral:rRNA from 1 species
AACGAACGCUGGCGGCAUGCCUAACACAUGCAAGUCGAACGAAGGCUUCGGCCUUAGUGGCGCACGGGUGCGUAACGCGUGGGAAUCUGCCCUUGGGUUCGGAAUAACUCAGAGAAAUUUGAGCUAAUACCGGAUGAUGACGUAAGUCCAAAGAUUUAUCGCCCAAGGAUGAGCCCGCGUAAGAUUAGCUAGUUGGUGGGGUAAAGGCCUACCAAGGCGACGAUCUUUAGUCUGGUCUGAGAGGAUGAUCAGCCACACUGGGACGUGAGACACGGCCCGACGACUCCUACGGGAGGGCGAGCAGUAGGGAAGUAAUUGGUACGAAUAGGGGG